rnacentral:rRNA from 1 species
GUACACUCCUGCGGGAGGCAGCAGUGGGGAAUAUUGGACAAUGGGCGCAAGCCUGAUCCAGCCAUGCCGCGUGAGUGAUGAAGGCCCUAGGGUUGUAAAGCUCUUUCACCGGUGAAGAUAAUGACGGUAACCGGAGAAGAAGCCCCGGCUAACUUCGUGCCAGCAGCCGCGGUAAUACGAAGGGGGCUAGCGUUGUUCGGAUUUACUGGGCGUAAAGCGCACGUAGGCGGACUAUUAAGUCAGGGGUGAAAUCCCGGGGCUCAACCCCGGAACUGCCUUUGAUACUGGUAGUCUUGAGUUCGGGAGAGGUGAGUGGAAUUCCGAGUGUAGAGGUGAAAUUCGUAGAUAUUCGGAGGAACACCAGUGGCGAAGGCGGCUCACUGGCUCGAUACUGACGCUGAGGUGCGAAAGCGUGGGGAGCAAACAGGAUUAGAAACCCCGGUAGUCCCAUGAU